rnacentral:rRNA from 1 species
UACGGGGGGGUGCGAGCGUUGUCCGGAAUCACUGGGCGUAAAGGGCGCGUUAGGUGGUUUGAUAAGGGUGUGGUGAAAGUCCGGAGCUCAACUCCGGAUCUGCCGUGCCGACUGUCAAACUCGAGGGCUGUAGAGGCAGACGGAAUUCCGGGUGUAGCGGUGGAAUGCGUAGAGAUCCGGAGGAAGACCGGUGGCGAAGGCGGUCUGCUGGGCAGUUUCUGACACUGAGGC